ensembl:lncRNA
AUGCAUUUUUUUUUUUUUUUUUUUUUUUUUUUUUUUUUUCCUUGCAAAAUGAAAGAAGAGGGAAGGGGUUUCUCUGGGAAACAACCACCACCAGAAGACCCCCCGACUGGCCCUUCCACNNNNNNNNNNNNNNNNNNNNNNNNNNNNNNNNNNNNNNNNNNNNNNNNNNNNNNNNUUUUUUUUUUUUUUUUUAUUGAAGUGUCCCUUCAUUGCAAAAUGGAUGAAGAGAGAGAGGAUCUCUCUGGGAAACAACCACUACCAGAUGACCCUCAGACUGGACCUUUCACUGAUCUAUUGAAAUCCAAAGCAUCAUUCUCCUCAUGCUCCCCUGCCCCUGGUUCAGCCGUUUCUGCCUUGCAAUCUAAAGUCAAAGCAAUGUCCCAGAGAAAGUUAAAGGGGACAGAGAGAGAUUAUCUAUUACCUGAGGGUUCCGCAGAAGAAUCAGUGAAAAAAAAACAAGACGAUGAAACGCAGUCUACUUGUCAAACAGAAUACACCGACCAGAGCAAUAAAUCAAGCACUGAAGAUAAAGAAGUGCUGCAACCCAUCUCUGGGAUGCAAGGAGAAAAUCUGUCUUGCAACAAAAGUGGGAAGGACAGGCCAUCUCAAGGUGCACCAGAAAUGUCCCGUGGGAUUUGUGAAGGGUCUAGCCUAGAAAACAUUGCAGUGGGUGUAGCUGGUGAACCUCAAGGGGACAUAGCAAUGAAGUCAACGAUGUCUUCUCCCAGGCACUGGGCUCCUCCCAAGGGCUUUUGGCGAGAGGCACAACCAGAGACGCUACUUCUUAAUUCAGAGAGUUCCUCCACACUGGCGACUCCAAAGGAUGUACCACCCACAACUGAGGAGAAUCCAAAAUGGAAGCCAAAACUAAAGACUGUGGGCGCAGCUGUUCACAAGGAGCUGCAAAGGUCUGACAGCUUGGAAAAUGCUUUUCAUAGGUGUCUACAGAAGGAGACUGCAACAGCAGAUCUGGUUGGUGGGCUGUGGAAGGCAAACAGUUGGGAGACUGUGUGCUCCAGGGGAGGGUCUUUGUCUAUUGCAGAGAAAGUUGAGAUGAACAAGACAUUCCUGAACAAAUACCAAGUUGAUGCUAUCGAGAUCACAACUUCCAUGCGCCCAGAGGGACAGUAUCAACCACCAAAGAAGCCGGACAGAGGUAUGACAUUUGCUUGA